rnacentral:rRNA from 1 species
CCUACGGGCGGCUGCAGUGGGGAAUAUUGCACAAUGGGCGCAAGCCUGAUGCAGCCAUGCCGCGUGUGUGAAGAAGGCCUUCGGGUUGUAAAGCACUUUCAGCGGGGAGGAAGGCGUUAAGGUUAAUAACCUUGGCGAUUGACGUUACCCGCAGAAGAAGCACCGGCUAACUCCGUGCCAGCAGCCGCGGUAAUACGGAGGGUGCAAGCGUUAAUCGGAAUUACUGGGCGUAAAGCGCACGCAGGCGGUCUGUCAAGUCGGAUGUGAAAUCCCCGGGCUCAACCUGGGAACUGCAUUCGAAACUGGCAGGCUAGAGUCUUGUAGAGGGGGGUAGAAUUCCAGGUGUAGCGGUGAAAUGCGUAGAGAUCUGAAGGAAUACCGGUGGCGAAGGCGGCCCCCUGGACAAAGACUGACGCUCAGGUGCGAAAGCGUGGGGAGCAAACAGGAUUAGAUACCCGAGUAGUC